GAUGAACGCUGGCGGCGUGCCUAAUACAUGCAAGUCGAGCGAAUGGAUUAAGAGCUUGCUCUUAUGAAGUUAGCGGCGGACGGGUGAGUAACACGUGGGUAACCUGCCCAUAAGACUGGGAUAACUCCGGGAAACCGGGGCUAAUACCGGAUAACAUUUUGAACCGCAUGGUUCGAAAUUGAAAGGCGGCUUCGGCUGUCACUUGUGGAUGGACCCGCGUCGCAUUAGCUAGUUGGUGAGGUAACGGCUCACCAAGGCAACGAUGCGUAGCCGACCGGAGAGGGUGAGCGGCCCCACUGGGGAUGAGACACGGCCCAGACUCCGACGGGAGGCAGCAGUAGGGAAUCUUCCGCAAUGGACGAAAGUCUGACGGAGCAACGCCGCGUGAGUGACGAAGGCUUUCGGGUCGUAAAACUCUGUUGUUAGGGAAGAACAAGUGCUAGUUGAAUAAGCUGGCACCUUGACGGUACCUAACCAGAAAGCCACGGCUAACUACGUGCCAGCAGCCGCAGUAA
rnacentral:rRNA from 1 species